UUUGAGAAGGUAUCAUGAGAU
rnacentral:miRNA from 1 species